UGCAUCCAUUUCUGAAGAUUGGAGCAACCAUGGAAACAGGGAAGGGUUGCUUGUUGUUUGCAUAUACGAGUGCUAGGGUUAGACAAUGGUUUGGGAGGCUGGCAUUUGUACAGAGCUUCUAAAACUACACUGAAACAAUUGACAAAUACUGCAUCAGUCGAGUUGGGCAAGAAGGACAAUCACCUGCAUUUUGCUACAUCCAGGAACAGUCAAGUACGGACACUCACGGCCAUUCCAAGGAAAUGUGGCCAAGCAUAAGUUCUUCACGAGGGAGUUCUCUGACAGAAGCUCGUGUCCACCAUCGAUAAUGCCAAGAAGAGUGACACCGGGAAGUUCUUUUCUUGGGAUGGUGAAGAAAUCCCAUGGUGACCAAAUGACCACUGUUUUUCGUCAGUGACCAUUUCAAUCGCCGGCCUCCCCCUGCUACUUUUUUCCUGUUUGUUUUCUUACCAUUCUUCUUUUGUCUUUGGAACCGAUUGUGUUCUUUUUAGCCUUAAAUUCAAAAGCCUUGAAUUAACCUCAACUUAGAUUUCUGAUAUGAAAAGCAUGGGAAGCAGUUCCCUUUUCCUAGAAUGCUAUACAUAUAUGAAGGUCACCAAUGAGUACAAGUCUGCUAAUGUAUAGUUUGUUUCCUAGAAUUCGUAUGAGGACCUGCUAAGCACUGGUGCCUACUGAAGUAUUGAUACUACAAGCUUGACACCUGAAGACCCUACAUAGCAAGAAAAGACAGUUGUGUUAUGCUCAGCACAUUUCUAAACACCUGCAUUUUACAAUCCCCAAUCUACUGUAAAGAGAUAAUUGAUAAUUUACCUUCGUCGACGCAUGCCAAUGGUCCCCGCCCCGCUGGGCUAUAUGGGCGCUCCCUAGUCAGCUAGCCCUUACACACUGCACUAAUCACAAUCUCCCCAUUCUCUGUAGCUACCACAUUCCUGCGCGCCUGUGCUUCCAGGGCCUUGACUCAGGUGCAGGGGGGCUAGAACCGGCUGCACAUCUGAAACCUGAACUACUCCAAUACUCUGAAUAGGAAGGAUAUUUUGCCAAAUAGAAUCCAUGAAGUUAACAGGAUCCGUGAAGUCAAUGGAUUCUAUUAUCUGUCUCCUUCCCUGACAGCUCAAGCAGAAGAAUUUUCAGGCGCAGAAACAAAUCUAUGUUUGUAGUGCAUUGGACUACCAGCUAUGUCAGAAUUCACGACAAUGACCACCACCUGCACGUUUACGACGAAAUAAGGCAGGGACAUGGGCAGUCAGGACGUGCUUCUGGCGUAUCUCACACUUCAUCCAGCUCGUCGUCAUGGAUGACCAGGAGCUCUUUACCUUGGCAGCGAAGAGUAGCCCCACACCGCCGCCUUGCUCUACGCUGGAUGCGGGCCCUAUCUAGCAACCGCUGUCAGAUAGGUCUAUUGCUGCUAGUCCACGCCGCCGACGACCCCUGCGUUGCUAGAUCGAAGCAUUGCAGCCAUUGACAGCAUGCACGGGAUCGAGAAUAUUUUUAUUUUUGAAAUUAAUAAUAAUAACGCGGGAAUAGAGUAUGCGAUACAACUAUUUAACAGUAAUGCGUCUCCAACCCACGCUACUCCUAUCACAGCUAGCAGUAGCGCGGGGUAAAACACGCGUUAAUGCUAAAAGUUAGCUGUACCAUCCUAGCAUUAGCGCGGAACCCCACGCUGCUGAUAGGCUAAAACCCAACGUUACUAGUACGUAGUGUUUUUUCUAGUAGUGUGACUCGAUACUCUCAAGGUCUAAGGAACCGAGCAUACUUAACUCUUCAUGUUAUGGGUUGUAGAUAUGUGAUGAUAGCAUCUCUAAGUAUAACAAACAAGUUGUGUCAAUUAAUAUGAUUAUUUUU